AAGAGGUCUGCAGUGAAGGUCCCAAAGUCCCAGACAACUUGAAGAAGCUGAGUGAGAAGGCCAUGCAGAUAUCUUGGAGAAGUGCAUUCCAGGCAGAGGAAAAGCCAGUGCAGAGACACUGAAGCAGGGCAUGACUGAUGUGUAUAAGGAGCAUCAUAUACAUGAUCAUCUACAGUCCACUGAGAAUAGCAGACGAAAGGCCAGGUGCAGUGCAUGUAAUCCCAGCACUUUGGGAGACUGAGAUGGGAAGAUCGCUUGAGGCCAGGAGUGCAAGACCAGCCUGGGCAACACAGCAAGACCUUGACUCUACUAAAAAAAAAAAAGGAUCCUUCAACUUCAACAAUAAUAACACGAGGGAAGUGAAGAAAAACACUUUCUAAGGAAAUCUCUCUCUGAGCUACCAUCCUGCUAGGGAGAGCCUGAAAGCAGAAUGCUGACUUGACUAGCUCUGGUCAAUGAAAGAAAUCACUAGUGGAAAGGCUACCAGGGGGCUUUCUCAAAAGAGAGGGACAGUAAACUGCAAGAUGAACAACUCAAUGCCAUCCAGGUCUGGAUGAGAAAGAACAGUCGAGAGACUGAGUUUCAGGAGUGGAAACACCCAAAGCAUCAUCUUCCACUUUCUUCUCCGGCUGCUAGGAAGAAGGGAAAAACACAGACCUUCUGAGGACCUGUGGAGCAAACCACUGGCUUCAGAAAAGCAAACAGGGACUUCCCUCUGCGCAGCAGGAAGCAGUUAGCCUAGUCGGAGGCUUGACUGAAGAAACAAAUGUAUCCACUGAUAAUGGGCAAGAGCCUGAGGCUCUGGAGCCAAGGGGGAACCCUAAAAAGCUGAUUCAAGUAAGAGAAGCAAGGAUCAUGCAAUUCCACAUGGCCACCUCGAAGCAGGAAUCCGUUAAUGAUAGUAAAGGACUGAUGAAAAUCCA
rnacentral:antisense_RNA from 1 species